CACACUGCAUUUAAAGUUUUUUGUCCUGGAACAAUACUGCUUCAAUUUCUUCUUCUCCUUUCGUUAUCAUCACCUUUCCUUGCUAUUCUGUAAUACUCUCUUCUUCUUCUGUUUUUGCUCUGUUCCUUUCUCUUUAUGGCUCCGCCAAAUAAUCCCACUAAAUCACUAGUUAAAAUACUUAAACCAGAGGCUUCUGCCGAUUACUUCCAAUUAUCUGACGGAAAUUUCACUGUAAAAGGCGUUAAAUUACUCUCCCAAGUUCCAAAAAACGUCACCUUUUCACCCUUUUCAUCUGUCUGUAACUCCUCCAACUCAGACGCUCCACUUCCCCUGCUCCACCGUGUCCUCUCUCAGUCUCACAACGGUGGCUUUCUCGGAUUCAAGAAGCACACACCGUCUGAUCGACUGACAAACUCACUCGGAACAUUCAACGGUAGGGAUUUCCUGUCCAUUUUCAGAUUCAAAACAUGGUGGUCUACUAUGUGGGUUGGAAACUCAGGCUCUGAUUUGCAAAUGGAAACUCAAUGGGUUCUCUUUAAUGUUCCUGAAAUUAAAUCUUAUGUGAUAAUAAUCGCAAUCAUUGAAGGUAAAUUUAGGUCUGCUUUAAACCCUGGGAUUAACGGGCAUUUCUUGAUUUGUGCUGAGAGUGGUUCAACUCGAGUUAAAGAAUCGAAUUUUGAUGCUAUUGGUUAUGUUCAUGUUUGUGAUAAUCCGUAUAAUAUUAUGAAAGAAUCGUAUAGUGCUAUUCGAGUUCAUCUUAAUACAUUUAGGGUUUUGGAGGAGAAAAUUGUUCCUGAGAUUGUUGAUAAAUUUGGGUGGUGCACUUGGGAUGCUUUUUAUUUAACUGUGGAGCCUAUUGGUAUAUGGCAUGGUUUGAAUGAUUUUGUUGAAGGUGGUGUGAAUCCAAGGUUUUUAAUCAUUGAUGAUGGCUGGCAAAGUAUUAAUCUUGACGGAGAAAACCCGAAUGAAGAUGCUAAGAAUCUUGUUCUCGGUGGUGAGCAAAUGACCGGCAGGCUUCAUCGACUCGACGAGAAUCAGAAAUUUAGAAACUAUAUAGGUGGAUCCAUGGCAGAUCGUAAUAAUCGUAUUCUGUUUGAUCCGAAUAGGCCUAAGUUGUUGAUUUCGAAAGCGAUAGAAAUCGAACAUGCUGUGAAGGAUCUCAAGAAGGCAAUUCAAUCCGGUGUGAGGGAUUUAUCGGGUUACGAAAUUAAAAUUGAAAAAUUUAAGAGAGAAUUGGAUGACAUGUUUGGUGGAGAACAAAAUGUCAACGUUUGCAAUGGUGGAUGUGGGGAUUAUGGGAUGAAGGCAUUUACAAGAGAUUUAAGAGAAAAAUUUAAGGGUUUGGAUGAUAUAUAUGUUUGGCAUGCUCUUUGUGGAGCUUGGGGUGGAGUUAGGCCUGAGAGUACACAUUUGAAAUCAAAGAUUUCUUCUUGCGAAAUGUCGCCGGGUCUCGACGGUACAAUGGAAGAUCUUGCUGUUGUUAAAAUUGUGGAAGGUGGUAUUGGACUUGUUGAUCCUCAGCAAGCUGGAGAACUUUUUGACUCUAUGCACUCUUAUCUUUCAAGUGUUGGUAUUACAGGAGUCAAGAUGGAUGUCAUUCAUACUCUUGAAUACGUAUCUGAAGAACAUGGAGGUCGAGUUGAGCUUGCAAAGGCUUAUUACAAAGGGUUAUCAGAUUCAAUAGCAAAAAAUUUCAAAGGAAGUGGAAUGAUUUCUAGCAUGCACCAGUGCAACGAUUUCUUCUUCCUCGGUACAAAGCAGAUAUCCAUGGGAAGAACAGGUGACGAUUUCUGGUUCCAAGAUCCAAAUGGUGAUCCGACAGGAGCUUACUGGCUACAAGGAGUUCAUAUGAUCCACUGUGCCUAUAACAGCCUGUGGAUGGGGCAAAUUUUACACCCUGAUUGGGACAUGUUUCAGUCGGAUCACUUGUGUGCCAAGUUUCAUGCCGGUUCAAGAGCCAUCUGCGGUGGACCUGUAUAUGUUAGUGACUCUGUUGGUUGCCAUGAUUUUGAACUCCUGAAGAAACUUGUGUAUCCUGAUGGCACCAUUCCUAAGUGUCAGCAUUUUGCCUUGCCUACUAGAGAUUGCCUCUUCAAUAACCCUUUGUUUGACAUGAAAACUCUUCUCAAGAUAUGGAACUUCAACAAGAUAAUGUGCAUCAAAUGCUAUUCAAGUGUCAUAUUGCAAUAUGUAAAACGCAUUGUUAGUGGCGAUAAGAGUUCCUUUAAGGCUGUAAACGAGCUGACAUGCUCACAAGCAGUUCGGUGUUUGGCUCGAUAAGAGAUCAGUACGUGUUUGUUUGUAUCUUAAACGAAUCAAGUUCGAGCUUGAUUUUAUGCUCUUAUUUAAAUGAGUUGAACAUGCCAUAUAGUGUUGUUCGGCUCGUUUAUGUUCACGAACAACUCGUAUAUGAGGAUAUUUAAUUGUCGUGGAUGAGCUCGUAUAUAAGCUCGAUUAAGAGUUCGUGAAUUGAUUUGCGUAUGACAUCUAUAAAGAGUUUACAAACUAGCUUGUAUAGAAGUUCGAUUAAGAGUUUAUGAACUAAUUUAUAGUUAAAUAAAGGAUUAUUUCCAUAUAAAAUCACUGUCUUUAUACAUUUGUUUCAUUUUAAUCACGUCCUUUAACGGUUUUUUCCCAAAAAAUUUCCAAAAAUAUAUAAUUCCGUAAAAGUGCCUGUUAUAGAAUCUGCAACUCAUAGUUGUAAAUUCAUGCACGAAUCCGCAACUAUGAAUUGCGGAAUUAAGGGGAGCUAAUCUGAUUCCCACAUGGGAAUUAGUUGAUUCCCAUGUGGGAAUCAGUUGACCACUCCGUAUCAGUGGUCAACUGAUUGCCACAUGGGAAUCAACUGACUCCCACAUCCCACAUGGGAAUCAGAUUCCCUGCUAGGUGGGUGUGCUAGCAACUAUGAGUUGCGGACUCCCUUAAUUUUAAUUAAGGGGAGCUAAUCUGAUUCCCACAUGGGAAUUAGUUGAUUCCCAUGUGGGAAUCAGUUGACCACUCCGUAUCAGUGGUCAACUGAUUGCCACAUGGGAAUCAACUGACUCCCACAUCCCACAUGGGAAUCAGAUUCCCUGCUAGGUGAGCACACCCAAACCUACUCCUUUUAAUAUUUUUUUAAAAUUAUCAAUUUUAAAAAAGAAAACUCUCAUUUUUUUUCCAUUUUUAAAAUAAAAUAUUAAUCUGUAGAGUUUUUUCGGUUUUGGGAUUUUGUAAUUUCGGAAUAUCGGAGUAAGGCGUUGAAAUUUUAGCAAUGGACAUCGUACUAUAUUUCUGAGGACUACAAGAGUAUGGAGGUGUGAUCGGAGCAUUCAACUGCCAAGGAGCUGGCUGGGAUCCAAAAGAGAGAAGAAUAAAGGGCCACCCUGAUUGUUGCAAACCAUUAACUGCCACUAUUCAUCUCACUGACAUUGAAUGGGAC